UACGGAGGGUGCAAGCGUUGUCAGGAUUUAUUGGGUUUAAAGGGUGCGUAGGCGGCUUCAUAAGUCCGUGGUGAAAGCCAACAGCUCAACUGUUGAACUGCCAUGGAUACUGUGAGGCUUGAGUACAGACGAGGUAGGCGGAAUGGAUCGUGUAGCGGUGAAAUGCAUAGAUACGAUCCAGAACACCGAUUGCGUAGGCAGCUUACUAGGCUGUAACUGACGCUGAGGCACGAAAGCGUGGGGAGCGAACAGG
rnacentral:rRNA from 1 species